UACGAAGGGGGCUAGCGUUGCUCGGAAUGACUGGGCGUAAAGGGCGCGUAGGCGGCGCGGUAAGUCACUUGUGAAAUCUCUGAGCUUAACUCAGAACGGCCAAGUGAUACUGCAGUGCUAGAGUGUGGAAGGGGCAAUCGGAAUUCUUGGUGUAGCGGUGAAAUGCGUAGAUAUCAAGAGGAACACCUGAGGUGAAGACGGGUUGCUGGGCCAACACUGACGCUGAGGCGCGAAAGCCAGGGGAGCAAACGGG
rnacentral:rRNA from 1 species